GAUUCCCCCAGUAGCGGCGAGCGAACGGGGAGGAGCCCAGAGCCUGAAUCAGUGUGUGUGUUAGUGGAAGCGUCUGGAAAGGCGCGCGAUACAGGGUGACAGCCCCGUACACAAAAAUGCACAUAUUGUGAGCUCGAUGAGUAGGGCGGGACACGUGGUAUCCUGUCUGAAUAUGGGGGGACCAUCCUCCAAGGCUAAAUACUCCUGACUGACCGAUAGUGAACCAGUACCGUGAGGGAAAGGCGAAAAGAACCCCGGCGAGGGGAGUGAAAAAGAACCUGAAACCGUGUACG
rnacentral:rRNA from 1 species